AUUGAACGCUGGCGGCAUGCCUUACACAUGCAAGUCGAACGGUGACAGGUCUUCGGAUGCUGACGAGUGGCGAACGGGUGAGUAAUACAUCGGAACGUGCCCGAUCGUGGGGGAUAACGAAGCGAAAGCUUUGCUAAUACCGCAUAAGAUCUACGGAUGAAAGCAGGGGACCGCAAGGCCUUGCGCGAACGGAGCGGCCGAUGGCAGAUUAGGGAGUUGGUGGGAUAAAAGCUUACCAAGCCGACGAUCUGUAGCUGGUCUGAGAGGACGACCAGCCACACUGGGACUGGGACACGGCCCAGACUCCUACGGGAGGCAGCAGUGGGGAAUUUUGGACAAUGGGCGAAAGCCUGAUCCAGCCAUGCCGCGUGCAGGAUGAAGGCCUUCGGGUUGUAAACUGCUUUUGUACGGAACGAAAAGACUCUUUCUAAUAAAGAGGGUCCAUGACGGUACCGUAAGAAUAAGCACCGGCUAACUACGUGCCAGCAGCCGCCGUAACAC
rnacentral:rRNA from 1 species